UCGAGCUCUCAUAACGCCAUUGAUGAUAAUGCUUCUCUUGCUCUAAAUUUAGGCAGCGGAUGCAUGGAUGUUUUGAAGGAAUUUGACACUUUUCAAAGUUUAGAAUUCAUUGGCAGAGCUCAAAAGAGUCAAUUAGAGCUAUAUUUGGAAGAACCAACAAUUGAUA